rnacentral:rRNA from 1 species
GACGAACGCUGGCGGCGUGCCUAAUACAUGCAAGUAGAACGCUGAAGAGAGGAGCUUGCUCUUCUUGGAUGAGUUGCGAACGGGUGAGUAACGCGUAGGUAACCUGCCUGGUAGCGGGGGAUAACUAUUGGAAACGAUAGCUAAUACCGCAUGAAAUUGCUUAUCGCAUGAUAAUUGAUUGAAAGAUGCAAUUGCAUCACUACCAGAUGGACCUGCGUUGUAUUAGCUAGUUGGUGAGGUAACGGCUCACCAAGGCGACGAUACAUAGCCGACCUGAGAGGGUGAUCGGCCACACUGGGACUGAGACACGGCCCAGACUCCUACGGGAGGCAGCAGUAGGGAAUCUUCGGCAAUGGGGGGAACCCUGACCGAGCAACGCCGCGUGAGUGAAGAAGGUUGUCGGAUCGUAAAGCUCUGUUGUAAGAGAAGAACGGGUGUGAGAGUGGAAAGUUCACACUGUGACGGUAUCUUACCAGAAAGGGACGGCUAACUACGUG